rnacentral:rRNA from 1 species
AAUGCUAAAAGAAUGGAAGUUUAAGAAAAAACUUUUUUAAAAAUAAAAAUUAAAUUUUUUUUAAUUUGUGCAAAACCAAUUAUUUAUAUUAAAGACAAGAAGACCCUAUGAAUUUAUGGUUAAAUAAACUAAAAAUUUUUAGUUUAUUUAAUCUUGAUUGGGGCAAUCAAAAAAUAUUAAUAACUUUUUUAAAUUUAAAUGAUCUAUUAUUAAUAAUCUAAUGGAAUAAAUACUCUAGGGAUAACAGCGUA